rnacentral:rRNA from 1 species
AUAUGAGAGUUUGAUCCUGGCUCAGGACGAACGCUGGCGGCGUGCCUAAUACAUGCAAGUAGGACGCACAGCCUAUACCGUAGCUUGCUACACCAUAGGCUGUGAGUUGCGAACGGGUGAGUAACGCGUAGGUAACCUGCCUAUUAGAGGGGGAUAACUAUUGGAAACGAUAGCUAAUACCGCAUAACAGUAUGUAACACAUGUUAGAUGCUUGAAAGAUGCAAUUGCAUCGCUAGUAGAUGGACCUGCGUUGUAUUAGCUAGUAGGUAGGGUAAUGGCCUACCUAGGCAACGAUACAUAGCCGACCUGAGAGGGUGAUCGGCCACACUGGGACUGAGACACGGCCCAGACUCCUACGGGAGGCAGCAGUAGGGAAUCUUCGGCAAUGGGGGGAACCCUGACCGAGCAACGCCGCGUGAGUGAAGAAGGUUUUCGGAUCGUAAAGCUCUGUUGUUAAGGAAGAACGAGUGUGAGAAUGGAAAGUUCAUACUGUGACGGUACUUAACCAGAAAGGGACGGCUAACUACGUGCCAGCAG